rnacentral:rRNA from 1 species
AAACUAACAAGGAUUCCCCUAGUAACUGCGAGUGAAGAGGGAAAAGCUCAAAUUUAAAAUCUGGCAGCUUCGCUGUCCGAGUUGUAAUUUAGAGAAGUGUUACCCUUGCUGGACCGUGUACAAGUUUCCUGGAACGGAACGUCAUAGAGGGUGAGAAUCCCGUCUUUGACACGGACUCCCAGCAUGUUGUGGUGCGCUCUCGAAGAGUCGUGUUGUUUGGGAAUGCAGCACUAAAUGGGUGGUAAAUUCCAUCUAAAGCUAAAUAUUGGCGAGAGACCGAUAGCAAACAAGUACCGUGAGGGAAAGAUGAAAAGAACUUUGGAAAGAGAGUUAAACAGUACGUGAAAUUGUUGAAAGGGAAACGCUUGAAGUCUAGUCGCGUCGGUUGGAAAUCAGUCUUGCUUCUGCUUGAUGUACUUUCUGAUCGACGGGUCAGCAUCAGUUUUGACCGUUGGAUAAAGGUUGGGGGAAUGUGGCAUCCUCGGAUGUGUUAUAGCCUCUGAUUGCAUACAACGGUUGGGACUGAGGAACUCAGCACGCCGCAAGGCCGGGUACUUGUACCACGUUCGUGCUUAGGAUGCUGGCAUAAUAGCUUUAAUCGACCCGUCUUGAAACACGGACCAAGGAGUCUAACAUGCCUGCGAGUGUUUGGGUGGAAAACCCGAGCGCGCAAUGAAAGUGAAAGUUGAGAACUCUUCAGAGUGCAUCGACGCCCGGACCAGACGUUUUCUGACGGAUCCGCGGUAGAGCAUGUAUGUUGGGACCCGAAAGAUGGUGAACUAUGCCUGAAUAGGGUGAAGCCAGAGGAAACUCUGGUGGAGGCUCGGAGCGAUUCUGACGUGCAAAUCGAUUGUCGAAUUUGGGUAUAGGGGCGAAAGACUAAUCGAACCAUNNNNNNNNNNNNNNNNNNN